GGCCUUCGCGGCCGUGUGAAGAUCUGCCAACGUUCGCAUCCGCGGCAUUUCCACUGCGAUUCCUCCAAAUCUCGUGUGUGGUUUCCUAAUCAGACGUAUAUUAUGACUUAAAAAUGGAUUUAGACCGUAGGGUGGACAGCCAGGCCCAGUGGGCUCUGCACACAUUUCCUCGCCUUCGCCCUGGCCUGUCUCAUGGAAGGCUGGGUCAUUUUAUAGAAAUGAUCUCCCCGAAUGGGAGCAGUGGGAAAAUGAGGGUACACUGACCGGUAACUGGACGUUUGGAAUGGAAAGUCCAGGAAACAGCCAUAGAAAGACUAACCAGUGUGCCGUUAGGGUGCAAGUCUCUUGGCUCUCCUCACCAGCCGUCCACACCCCCAGCCUGCCCCCCAGACUUCCCGCCCUCGCAAAGGAUUGUGGGCCAGCCCCCCACCGCCGCUGGGGGAAACGCUCGGCGUCCGGGCGCGUCACCCACCCGCCGACACCUUCCCGCGAGUCGGGCCUGGCGUUUGGGGGUUUCUGAGACCGUUAGAGCUUCACGGCCUGCCUAGUUCAAGAAGAUAGCUGGAAAAAAGAUAUACAACUGCCAUUGUCUGUUAUAUGACAGAGUUGACCUGUUGACCAGGAGUGUUGUAUCACAGAUGAUGAUAGCAUUUGAAGACCUGGCUGUGAUGUGAUGUGAUGCUGGAGACCUACAGCAGCCUGCUCUCCUUGGAUGCCUUGGAAAGGAAUGAUCUGAGUAAGAUCUACCAAAAAAGUCAGGACAAAAAUCUGAAUCAGGAUGUUAUGAAAAAUAAUAAAACAUCAACUCCCAAGAUGAUUAAAUUAAGGAAAAACUUAAUUUUAGUUCAAGCCAUAUUCCAACACUGAAUAUCAAAAAAAGAAACUAUUCAGGAAUUAAACCUGAAGAAUGCAAUAUAUGUCACAAUGUGUAUCCCAUUGUGGGCCUGAUCAACUACAAGCUGGAGUGAAAUUUGAUGCUACCAAGAUACCUGGGAAUGGUCUCCAAUUCUGUGAGCCUCUUAACCAACAGCACAAAAUUCAAACCGUGGAGCAGGUACUUGAACAAAUUGGACAAGGGAAAAUUUUCAAAAGGAAGAAUAUAUUUUGUGAAUCUGAGAAGCUUUUUAUUGUAGAAACUUAUAAUAAGUCAACUGCCACUAUUGGCAAGACAACUCAAGUAGUACAAGAUUUCCAUAAAAAUUCUAACCUCAGUAAGCAUCAACAAAGUCCUGGAAGAGAGAAAGUUUAUAAAUACAUCAAGCCUGUGGAAUCUGUCAUUUACCAAUCACAUGUUAGAAUGAAUCAUAGAUCAAAUAUAGGGAAGAAAUCCUAUUCCUGUAAAACUUGUGGGAAAUCAUUCAGUAAUAAAUUCUGCCAUAUCCUCCAUCACAGCACUCACGUAGUGGAAAACCCUCAUGUGUGUAUUGAAUGUGUAGAAAUCACUUACCAGAAGUCAGAUUUCAUUAGACAUCAGAGAAUUCACACAGGGUUGAAAUCUUAUAAAUGUAAUGACUGUGAGAAAGUCUUUGGCCAGAAGUCAAACCUCAUAAAUCAUCAGAGAAUACACGGGCGAGAAACCUUAUGAAUUUAAUGACUGUGGAAAAUCCUUUGGCCAGAAGUCAAACCUCAUAUAUCAUCAGAGAAUUCACAAAGGGGAGAAACCUUAUGAAUGUAAUCAUUGUGGAAACGCCUUUUGCCAUAAGUCAAACCUCACAAAGCAUCAGAGAAGUCACACAGGGGAGAAACGCAAUGACUGUGGAAAAGCCUUUGGCCAGAAGUCAAACCUCAUAACUCAUCAGAGAAUUCACACAGGGCAGAAAGAUUAUGAAGGUAAUGGCAAAGUCUUUAUGCAUAAGUCACAUCUUAUUCUACAUCAGAGAAUUCACACAGUAAAAACCUUAUGAAUGUAAUGACCGUGGAAAAACCUUUCUGUUGAAAAAUUAUCGUCAAACAUCAGAGAAUUCACACAGUAGAUAAAACCUAUGAAUACAAUGACUGUGGAAAAAAAUUAUGUGGAAGAAAGAUCUUAUCAGACAUCAGAAAAUUCACACAGGGGAGAAACCUUAUGAAUGUAGUGACUGUGCAAAAGCCUUUCUGCAUAAGUCACAUCUCAUUCAACAUCAGAGAAUUCAGACGGGGGAAAAACCUUAUGAAUGCAAUAACUAUGAAAAAGCCUUUGGCCAAAAGUCAACCCUCAUAAAUCAUCAGGGAACCCACACGGUGGAGAAAUCUUAUGAAUGUAAUGACUGUGGAAAAGCCUUUUUGCGCAAGUCAGAACUCAUCAGACAUCAGAGAAGUCACACAAAGGAGAAAUCCUAUGAAAGCAAUGACUGUGCAAAAGGGUUUGGUCACAAAUCAAGCCUCAUAAGUCAGAGAAUUCACACAGGGCAGAAAGUUUAUGAGUGUAAUGAGUGUGGAAAAGUCUUUUGGAGGCAGUCAGAUCUCAUCCCACAUCAGAAAAUUCACCCAGGAGAAAACCUUAUGAAUGUAAAAACUGUGGAAAAGCCUUUGGCAAGAAGUCAAACAUCAUAAUUCAUCAGAGAAUUAGCUCAGAGGAAUAACCGUAUGAAUGCAAUGACUGUGGAAAAGUCUUUGGCCAAAAUUCAAGCCUCAACUCCUCACAGAAUUCCCACAGGGGAGAAACCUUAUGAAUGCAACGACUGUGAAAAAUGUUUUGAAUAUAAGCUACACAUCAUUAGAUAACAACAUCAUGAAUGUAAUGAUGGUGGAAAGCCUGUUGCUAUAAUUCACAACUAAUAAAACAUCAGAGAAUUCACACCAGGAAUUUUCCACAACAUUGCCUUUUUGUGCAAGUUACAUCUCACCAAACAUUAAGUGUGGAUAUGCCUCUGGUACCAAUCAUACCUCAUCAAACAUAAAAGAAUUAACAUGCAAGAAAUCUUUUGAAUGUAAUGACUCAGAAAGACUUUUACCAUAAUUCAGUCCUCAUUGCACAUCUUCAAAUUCAUAUAGGGAAUAAACCCUUUGAAAGUAAUCAUGUGGAAAUGCCUUUAAUUAGAAGUCAUAACCCGUAAGACAUCAGAGAAUUCACAUUUGAGGGAAAUCUUAAAGAGUGUAAUGAGUGUUGGAAAGCUCUGCCAAAAUCUCAGUUACAACACCAGAGAAUUCACAAAGUGGAGAUCUCAUGAAUGAAAUAAAUGUGGGAAAGCUUUUUGUUAUAGAUCAUACUUAGAUCCAUAGGAAAAUAGAGAGAAGUGGACAGACCCACAGAGGCAGCUGUGUAAGGCUGGAGACCUAGUCCAGAGUUGUGUAUCUACAAGAGAAGGAACUAUUUCUACAGGUUUCUAGCAGACACCAGAAGUAGGAAGAGGAAGGAAGGACCCUCUCCUACAUCUUUCAGAGAAUACCUGGUCCUUUUGACACUUAGAAUGUGCCAAAUUACCAUUUGUGGAACUUUGUGAUAGCAGGGCCAGGGCACUAAAAAUAGACAUGAGACCAUAAUGUCACCUUCCUCCAACCUCCUGACCACAGCACAGCAGCCAGAACCUCUGUGUCCAAACAUUCCCUACAAGAAAACUGCCUGCCUUCAUUAACUUUCUGUCUUCACUGACAAGGCCUGGCCCCAGGAAAUCAUGCAUUAAGGGAAUAAAUCAAUGGAUUCCUUCCAGUGCUGUAUUCAGAUGUUCAUAAAAACCAAGGUACAUCUACACAUGGGAAGCACAGAGGGUGAUGGACAGGAGGAAAGAUGGCCCAUGUAGGGCAUUCCAGUGCUCACAGCCACACUGUGUGCUGGGGCAGCCAACUCAACUCCAAAUGCCCAGCCUCUGCGACUUGGCAGGUAAAGUCAUUUCUGUCACUCAGCUCCACCACUUACCAGUUCCAUGACCCUGGACUGCCUCUCUGAGCCUGUUGGAUCUUCCCUCCUGCUCAGUGAGAAUUUUACAUGACUGUGAGAUGAUAUCUUUCCAACCCGUGGGCUGACAUCACCUAUAGUUAUAGAGAUGGAAAGAUCACAAAAACAUAGGGACAACAUUUUUGUGGCCACAACUCAAAACAGUUCUAGGUUCACUGAUGGCCUUGUUUCCUAGUCUGUCCCAUGAGAUACAGCCAUUCCCUCACAUGCACUAUCUGAAUCUCUCUUGGGGAAGCAGGGUCUUUCAUGGGGACACAAACAUUAUGCAACCAUGCCGUUUUCCUAGG